GGAUCCAGACCUCCUCCGGUUCUCAGGGCUUCGGGAAACCACUUGCCAGAGCCCUGCCCUUUCCUUGGCCUGUGCCCUGCGGUCUGCAGCAGGCGCGCCUCAAGGCCGGCGGCCUGGGAGGAACUACAUUACCCAGAUGCCCCUGCACUGUGCGUCUGCGGCGCUGGACCAAUGAAGGCCCUUGAGAGACGCCUGUCCGUGUGGGCGAAAGGCGUGUAGUUAGCAGUUCCGGUGUUUUCCGGAUGUAGCUUUGCGGCAUUUUUCGUCGCAAACGUCGCUUUCAGUCUGUCUGCUUGUUCUGGUUCUAAGUGGUUGGUGGAGUCCAAGGUCAAGUGAGCGCGAGGCCACGGUAGAUGUUGUCCCCUCUGGCAGAGGCGGUUCUGAGGCUCGGCGAGGGCGCCGCUUGGGGUGACCCGGUGCAGGCGGCUGGCCGGGGUGGGCGUGUGGCUGAGCCCUGUUGGGUCCGGCACAGGCUGGUGCUGCAUCCCCCAAACCCUCACCCCUGGGGACUCCCGCCUCAAUGCUGAAGACCCGAGCGAGUGGUGCCUGCUCGGUUCGCUGUCAGUCAGCCCCUUCCUUCAGGACUUCGGCGCAUUCCUGGGGUGCGGUCCCAUUUCUGACAGAUAAAUCGUCUUCAAGGCAGAGGGACAAUCCCGUGCGAAGGUUUGGAAGUGCGGCUGAGUGGAGUAUUCGGAGACUUGGGGCCAGUCUCCUGUCUCCAGGAGACAGAUGGGGAGCGGCCUGGCCGCCUGCGCAGUGCGGCCUUCCUUCUGAGGGCGCUGGUAGCCAUGGAGGGUUUUGAAAUAAGAGACUUGGUCUGAGAUAGGAUUUUAAAAGGUUUCCAAAGGCAGCUCAGGGUAGAAUGGACUUGGGGGAGGGGUAAAAGUGGGAGACCUUGAGAAAGCUACUGCAACAGAGCCCGGGAGAGCACGGUGAGGGCCGGACCGGAGCGGUCGCUAUAGACGGGUGUCUGAGGAAAAGUGCAGUGGGCACAGUUCAAACAGGCGAGGAAGACUUUAUUGAAGACCCCUGCAAGAGGGGAGAGAGACCAAACGACUCCACUGAAACAGAGUGCUGUUUCAAGUGCUGGAGGGAGCUGGUGGGAAAGUCCUGGAGGACGUUGGAUGGGGAGGUCGACCACUGGGAUCUGUUGAGCACGUUGAGUUAUUCCUGAGUUUGCAGAUCUUUUCCUCUGUGAUUAAGACUUAUGUGUUUUCUAAUUGGUACCUAUUGAAGUUAGGCUCCUACCCUCCCACAGAGACUGAGAGAUAAGGGUGCUGUCUCCUUCGAUGUUUAUAUUUCAGAAAGAUGGUUCCCAAGUCCUUGAAAAAGACGUUCCCUGGGUCGUAAAACUGGCAAGAGGCUGGGAGGAGAUUUACAGACCGUUUAAGGGGCAGAGAGAGAAUUUACAAUUGCAAAUUUCCUAAAGUACCUGCUCUAAGAAAAGGGAGGCCAGGGACCUAUAGUGAGGAAGAAACUUGUCCAGAGUUGAGUCAAGCUGAGGGGAUGUUAAGCGGAUGCUGGCCAGGGGUAGAAGUGAUACAAUGCAAGGUAGAUUUUAGGGACAGAGGGCUCUUUUAAGGAUAGAGGACUCACAUCCACCUAGAGGCCAAGGCCUACCUUCCCUGCCCCCAUUUUUAACUUGUGAACUUCAGAAACAGCAUUUAUCUCCAAAUUGAACAAUCACUAUUCCUCUAAAUGAGUAAUAUAGGUAGUCAAUUAAAAUCAAAAAUGCAUGGAUUUAACAAGGUAAAUUUAUGAAAGCACUUAAUAUUUGGUUCAUCUCUUAAUACAUAACUAAGCAGAAUGCUAACAUGCUAAAAUCGAAAGUCUUAAAUAACGUAUUCUGUUAAAUGUUUAAAGGUGGCUGAAACAUACAUUCAGAAUUUCAAAAUCCAUCACUUCAUUUGCAUUUAGAACACUGACAGAAGCCUUUGUUCUGUGGCUAGUGCUAGCAUAUACUCAGCACUUAAUAUGUACUACAGUGUUUGAUUCCAACACCAGCCCUAUGAAGUUGGUUCCCUUACUAUCCCAUUUUCCAGAAGAAGACACUGAGGCACAGAGAGGUUGAGGUGUCCGAGAUCACACAGCUGAUAAGAGGCUACACCAGUGACUGAGGCUCAUAAGUUAGACAUUCAAAUGGAGGUCACCUUGCUCCAGAACAGGGAUGAGGGGUUGGCUGAACCCUUGAAACCCCACCAGGGAUGCCCAUCGCUCACAGUCUUCUUCUUCUCAUGGGGACCUGUGGCUGCAGAAGUGCUUAUGGACCACGCACAGGUUGGUUUCAAAUGGAGGAUGAGGGGGCACCUUCUCAAGGCGUGUCACAACUCAGGGCUCCCAAGGCAGGUCCAACUACCCAGAAAGCCUACCCUUGUGGGAUGUGUGUCCCAGUCUUGAAGGACAUUUUACUCCUGACUGAGCACCAGGGAAUGUGCCCCGGGCAGAGACUGCACAUGUGUGCGGCCUGUGGGAGAUAACUCUGGUUCAUUACAAGCAUCCCCCAGCACUGGAAGCAGCACAGUGGAGAGAAGCACCUCAAAAGGGAUGACUAUGGGACUGCAUUUGUUAAGAGCUGCGGAGUCCACAUGUCAGUGAAUCCUUUUGCAUGUGGAUGGUGGGAAGAGCCCCUGGCCAGCUUGAGCCGUGUCCAGCACCAGGCCACAUAGAGCCAUGGGAUUCCGCACAGAAGCACCAUGUGCAGGAAGGCCUUUCACACUGUAGUAAGAUCUUGUGAAUGUAGAGAGAUGUGGGAAACUCUAUAGUCACAAAAUCACACUUGUUCAGCACCAGAGAAUCCACUCUAGAGAAAGGACUGAAUGUGGGAAGUUCUUUAGCCAAAGCUCUUACCUUAUUGCAUAGUAGAGAUUUCACAUUGGUGAAAGGCCGUGUGAGUGCAUCUAAUGUGGGAAGUUCUUUAGCCAAAGCCCCAGCCUCAUUCUACACCAGAGAGUUCACUCUGGAGCGAACCUUUAUGACUGCAGCGAAUGUGGGAAAGCCUUGUGCCACAAAGACACACUUGUUUAGCACCAGAGAAUCCACACUGGAGAAAGGCCUUCUGAGUACAACAAACGUGGGAAAUUUAGCCAAAGCUCCAGCCUCGUUGUACAACAGAGAGCUCACUCCAGAGCAUGGCCUUAUGAGUGCAGUAAAUGUGGGAAAGCUUUCUGCCUAAAAUCCAUACUCGUUCAGCACUGGGGAACCCAUAGUGGAGAAAGGCCUUAGGAGUUCCAUGAAUAUGAGGACUUCUAUGAAUAUGAGGACUUCUUUAGCCACAAGCCUGGCUCCAUUAACACUGGAGAGAAGCAGUGUAGUGACUAAGAAAGAUUCAAUGGCCUUUGCUCACUCACCAUAAGAAAAUUCACACUGGAGAAAGGCCUUAGGAGUACAGGAAGUGUGCCAUCUGCUUGUUCAAUGUAAUGGCUGACGUCAGAGGGAAGCUCUGAGAGUUGCCUCUGUGAGCUAGCCUUCAGCCAAAAGUUGAGCCUCACACCGAACGUCCGUACUGCAGAGAUGCUAUAUGUGUGUCAAGUAUGUGGGGAACUUUAGGAGCUGCACUGCACUUUGUCAUCAGCCCAAGGCCCUUGCCCGAGUUUGAGCAUUGCCAGUACCUGUGGAAGAAGCCAUGUCACUUCACCAGUUGGCAAGGGUGUAUCAGGCCACCCAACAUGCUCAGUGAACACAGACCUCUGCGCUCUUUAUCCCAUUCCCUGGAGGGAAAUCAUGAGUGGUCUAAGCAUAAUUAUAAUUGAUACAUGAACACUGGAUAUAAAUGAUACAGAGUUGGGGGUGCCUGUAGCAUGCUAGUGGGGAUGUGCCACAUCUAAAGGUUUUUUUCACAAAUAUUCUGGUCUGUUCACUGUAACUCUGAUGACAAGGGUGUAGUUUUUCUUAAGACCUUCAGAUUUAUGUCUCUCCUAAGGCCAAGGUCAAUGGCAGAGCAAAUAACCUGGAGGUAUUCUGGAUUCUUAAAGCCUACCUGGGCUGUUCACCUGAAGGCCACUGCUGUGUAGGCAGGAAAAUGGAGAAUGGGAGGAAAUAUUUUAAUGUAGUCCAGACAUAAGUCUUGUGACUCAUGUAGAAACGUCCUUCUUUGCUUGCUAGUCAUUGCUUCCAUUGCAACAAGGCUGCCCCUCCCAAGCCAUGAGGAAAGUUAUGGUGGAGUCAAUACAGGUUUGCCAGAUUGGGUGUUUCAAGAGGAGUGGGAGAUCCAGAUUUUUACGUGAAACUAUUUUUUAAAAGCAUUAUUGAGAUAUAAUUAAUGUAAACUCUGUAUACUUAAAGAAUAAAAUGUGUUUUCCCCCAACUUUACUGAGGUCUAAUCGACAAAUAAAAUUGUGUAUGUUUAAAAUCUA